GAUGAACGCUGGCGGCGUGCCUAACACAUGCAAGUCGAACGGGGUUAAGUGAAAUUUUCGGAUGGACCUUAACUUAGUGGCGGACGGGUGAGUAACGCGUGGAUAACCUGCCUCACACAGGGGGAUAGCAGCUGGAAACGGCUGGUAAUACCGCAUAAGACCACGGUGCCGCGUGGCGCUGAGGUAAAAGAUUUAUCGGUGUGAGAUGGAUCCGCGUCUGAUUAGCCAGUUGGCGGGGUAACGGCCCACCAAAGCGACGAUCAGUAGCCGGCCUGAGAGGGUGAACGGCCACAUUGGGACUGAGACACGGCCCAAACUCCUACGGGAGGCAGCAGUGGGGAAUAUUGCACAAUGGGCGCAAGCCUGAUGCAGCAACGCCGCGUGAGUGAAGAAGUAUUUCGGUAUGUAAAGCUCUAUCGGCAGGGAAGAAAGGCCCUUUAAGGGAGAUGACGGUACCUGACUAAGAAGCCCCGGCUAACUACGUGCCAGCCGCCGCCGUAA
rnacentral:rRNA from 1 species